UUUACGUCACCGGCCACAUAGUCCGCAGCAUCUUUCACUGCAUCGCAUUUCCCGGGGCUGAAUCCCCUUUCUUGAGCGAUCGCCUUCGCUCAUUGGCAAAACUCCUUGAUGAGUGCAUCUAGUUUGUUGGGGUGACACUCCGCCUCUUUAUACUCUUAGGAGGCGAGAAACUCCCGUUCCCUUCUCCUUCCUUACUCUUCCGAGGAUGGUUCAGGGGGAGCCGGUUCCGCCUCCGGCUGAGGAGGGAAAUUUCAAUCGAUAGGCGGUAGCUUCGACGAGCUGGGACGUGGAAGUGAAAACCCGCUUCCUUACACUUCCGACGAUGAUUCGGGGGAGCCGGUUCCGUCUCUGACUGAGGAGGGAAAUUUCAAUCGAUAGGCGGUAGCUUCGACGAGCUGGGACGUGGAAGUGAAAACCCUAAACUUGAAACCCU
rnacentral:lncRNA from 1 species